UAACGAAGGGGGCUAGCGUUGUUCGGAAUUAUCUGGGCGGUAAAGCGCGUGUAGGCGGGUCUUUAAGUCAGGGUGAAAUGCCCAAGGCUCAACCUUGGAACUGCCUUUGAUACUGGAGAUCUUGAGUCCGGGAGAGGUGAGUGGAAUUGCGAGUGUAGAGGUGAAUUCGUAGAUAAUUGCAAGAACACCAGUGGCGAAGGCGGCUCACUGGCCCGGAACUGACGCUGAGACGCGAAAGCGUGGGGAGCAAACAGGAUAGAUA
rnacentral:rRNA from 1 species